UACGGGGGGGGCAAGCGUUGUUCGGAAUUACUGGGCGUAAAGGGCUCGUAGGCGGCCAACUAAGUCAGACGUGAAAUCCCUCGGCUUAACCGGGGAACUGCGUCUGAUACUGGAUGGCUUGAAUCCGGGAGAGGAUGCGGAAUUGCCAGGUGUAGCGGUGAAAUGGCGUAGAUAUCUGGAGGAACACCAAUUGCGAAGGCAGCUCGCUGGGACGUUACUGACGCUGAGACGCGAAAGCGUGGGGAGCAAACAGGAUUGAGA
rnacentral:rRNA from 1 species